rnacentral:rRNA from 1 species
AGAGUUUGAUCAUGGCUCAGAUUGAACGCUGGCGGCAGGCCUAACACAUGCAAGUCGAGCGGAUGACGGGAGCUUGCUCCUUGAUUCAGCGGCGGACGGGUGAGUAAUGCCUAGGAAUCUGCCUGGUAGUGGGGGACAACGUUUCGAAAGGAACGCUAAUACCGCAUACGUCCUACGGGAGAAAGCAGGGGACCUUCGGGCCUUGCGCUAUCAGAUGAGCCUAGGUCGGAUUAGCUAGUUGGUGGGGUAAUGGCUCACCAAGGCGACGAUCCGUAACUGGUCUGAGAGGAUGAUCAGUCACACUGGAACUGAGACACGGUCCAGACUCCUACGGGAGGCAGCAGUGGGGAAUAUUGGACAAUGGGCGAAAGCCUGAUCCAGCCAUGCCGCGUGUGUGAAGAAGGUCUUCGGAUUGUAAAGCACUUUAAGUUGGGAGGAAGGGCAGUAAGCUAAUACCUUGCUGUUUUGACGUUACCGACAGAAUAAGCACCGGCUAACUCUGUGCCAGCAGCCGCGGUAAUACAGAGGGUGCAAGCGUUAAUCGGAAUUACUGGGCGUAAAGCGCGCGUAGGUGGUUUGUUAAGUUGGAUGUGAAAGCCCCGGGCUCAACCUGGGAACUGCAUCCAAAACUGGCAAGCUAGAGUACGGUAGAGGGUGGUGGAAUUUCCUGUGUAGCGGUGAAAUGCGUAGAUAUAGGAAGGAACACCAGUGGCGAAGGCGACCACCUGGACUGAUACUGACACUGAGGUGCGAAAGCGUGGGGGAGCAAACAGGAUUAGAUACCCUGGUAGUCCACGCCGUAAACGAUGUCAACUAGCCGUUGGAAUCCUUGAGAUUUUAGUGGCGCAGCUAACGCAUUAAGUUGACCGCCUGGGGAGUACGGCCGCAAGGUUAAAACUCAAAUGAAUUGACGGGGGCCCGCACAAGCGGUGGAGCAUGUGGUUUAAUUCGAAGCAACGCGAAGAACCUUACCAGGCCUUGACAUGCAGAGAACUUUCCAGAGAUGGAUUGGUGCCUUCGGGAACUCUGACACAGGUGCUGCAUGGCUGUCGUCAGCUCGUGUCGUGAGAUGUUGGGUUAAGUCCCGUAACGAGCGCAACCCUUGUCCUUAGUUACCAGCACGUAAUGGUGGGCACUCUAAGGAGACUGCCGGUGACAAACCGGAGGAAGGUGGGGAUGACGUCAAGUCAUCAUGGCCCUUACGGCCUGGGCUACACACGUGCUACAAUGGUCGGUACAGAGGGUUGCCAAGCCGCGAGGUGGAGCUAAUCUCACAAAACCGAUCGUAGUCCGGAUCGCAGUCUGCAACUCGACUGCGUGAAGUCGGAAUCGCUAGUAAUCGCGAAUCAGAAUGUCGCGGUGAAUACGUUCCCGGGCCUUGUACACACCGCCCGUCACACCAUGGGAGUGGGUUGCACCAGAAGUAGCUAGUCUAACCUUCGGGAGGACGGUUACCACGGUGUGAUUCAUGACUGGGGUGAAGUCGUAACAAGGUAGCCGUA